ensembl:lncRNA
UAGAAAAACUGCGUGUCUGCUCCAAACCCACCGCUAGCCGUAGCCGCGCUUGGGUCUAGUCAGCACGCCACACAGGCACGCCGAGCUACCGUGUGUAGCUCGCCCCGCCGUGACAGGAUACAAACAUGGAAGCAAGAUUGAAUUUAGUUUGAAUGACGACUUGUACGCGCUGACUCCACAGACAAGACUCCGCCCCAGCAUCACAGGUUCCGAAUGAAGCUGAAGGGAAGCCAUUUCAGAACAUUUAGCUCUCCAUUUUUCCGAGUUGUUUGCCACGCCUGGAUAUGCUUGCAAAGGUAGAAUAUGGGGGAGUGCAGAAGUAUGUCAAAGUUCCAGAAAGUGAUGAAUGCUUUCAUUUCCACCAGUUUCUUAAAGAUGUUAUGGACAAGUUCAGCUUGCAGCCUCAACUCUUCACAGAAGGUGUACUCAUCCUCACUGAUACCUCUGACACUGAAGUUGACUCAGACAUUUUUGAUGAGCUGGUAAAGUCUGGAGUUCGAGCUUUCAAAGUUGGAUAUAGAAUGCAGACAGCAACAGACAUUGAGAUCAGUGUGGUUGAUGAUGAAUCAGAGUCAUCGGUACAGCCAAUCCCUCUUGCCCUCCUGACAUCGCCAGUGUCAUUGUCAGACCAUCCAUCGUCCCCAGCUUCUACCAGUUCAUCAGAUUCAACUAUGAUCCUCAAAAGUACAAAGAACAGGAAGAAGGGCCUACAAGAGCUUGAUCGCGAUGAAGCGAAGCAGGUCAAAAGCAAAGCCUAAAGCAAUUUCCAGUGCUUAACAGCAUUUUACAAACACUAACUUUUUUGUAUAAUUUGUUUCAGUUUAAUCAGUAUGACUUUUUUUUUUAAACAGAAGGUGUGUAGUGUCUUGAGCUCAAACCCAAAGGGUGAAGAAAUUUUCAAUGAAUACGACAAAACUAAAACAUUGUCAGAUCCAACUCGUCGACAAAUGGUCAACAUACUGGUUGCAGAUAUGAUAGAAUCACACGGGUAAGUAUUCUUUGAUGAUCAUAAAAACAAUUGUCGAGUGAGCAGAAGAGCAAUACACUUUGUUUUGUUUUUGAAAGGAGGAUUCCGCCCAUAAGUGUUCGGACUAACUAUGCACUGGGGAUUGCAACGCUUUUUCCAUAUCUCCAAGAUCCUUACUCAAAAAAUGGCUAUGAACAUUACUAUGAUCCGGAGGCCAAUACUGGCUAUCUUGCUUGGAGACUCAAGACUGUCCAACGCAAUACCUAUGAUGGUGCUAGUGGGUGUCCCAGGCCAAACUUCCAGGACAGUCCAACAACCCGAAGAGAAUCUUUGUUUGUUAGUGGACAGCUUUUUGGUGAAGAGUGCAGAGAGUUAUUAGACACUCAACAGAUAGGUCUGUGGUUAAAGAGAAGAUGAAAGCUACUUUUGAAUAUAGACAGAAGCUGGUACAUGACCCAGAUGCAACAUCAUCAAUCUUGGAUGUCUUCCCUCAUUUCCUUGAUACACCGGGGUUGAUUGAUCAGGAUUUUGCAAUGAUGCUUGGAGAUGAGGCCUCUGGAAGAUUUCUUACAAAGUGGUCUUCGUAUUUCAAGCAAAAAAUCAUCGCCGAAAGCCAAAGUCUUCCAUCAAGUCCUUGUGUUGAGGAGUUACGAGCAUCUUUUGAUACGGAGGCUUCAAAUGACUGGGGCUGGGAUAGUGACAUGGCAGCCCUUCUGUUGUUGCUGCAUCUCCUGCCCCCAACAUCAAAAGGCCACACAAAAACAGCAAAAAUUAGCUCUGCACAGGCAGCCAAUCAUCUUGUGAGAUUCGUCAAGAAAGGAGUCAGCCUCACUACUUUCCUGGAGAAAGCUAACACCAGGCAGCCCUUCCUUCUCUGCAUUGGUGAGCAAAAGAAGAACAUUCAGAGGUUCUUCAUCAUUGUGGACCAGAAAGCUAUCCCCUGUGAUGCUCCAACUUCAGCAGCUGCUUUUGAUGGGCUUUUCAAAGCACACUUUGUCUUCAGCCUCUCAUAUGAUGAAGCUCUUUCCAGUUUCUACACCUUCAUUCAAACCACAAUCUACAACAUUGAUGUUGGAAACACAAAAGAAAGCCCUCGAGUCAAGGAACUGAGAGCACGUCUGCUGCGAGACCGUUAAAUGCCCGCAAGGUCCACACGCUUUUAGGAGGAUUUAAAAAAAAAACUGUUUGACAAUGUUCAAAUGCUUUGUUUGUAAAAUGCACCAAAAAAAUUGUUCAGCUCUAUGUCAACAUUUAAAAUUUCAUCAUGGUUUAUAUCCAAACAAAAAUCUGCGUUUAAAAUGUGAAGAGCAGGGAUGUCUUUCAUCUUUUUGUACUUAAAUGGCUUUAGAAAACAUCUUCAUAAUGUACAUAGUCAUUAUCACGAUAAACAUGUAGGGACGGAACAGGAAGUUGCCCAACAAACACAUUCUCUAGGAGACUCUUUUUGUGAUCAACCAUCUACUUCUGCAUCUAUAUCACAGGUUCCCACUGUUAUUUCACAGGACUCGCUUGUUGGAAUGUGUGGAUCUGUUGUCGCUCACUUACAAGCUUCUGGUCUUACUGAAAGUGCUGUUCAAACAAUAAUUUGUUCUGUUGAGGAAGUUGUCAGGGAUGUUCAGAGUCAAGCAAGAGAAGUAGUACUCCAAACAUUUUCCCCUGAUAGUAAGGAAUCAGACAUUUACAAAAGAGUUGAGCACAAUUUAAACCAAUUGGAUAACCCCUUUUCAAAAUUUAACACUGAGAAAAAAAGACAGAAAUAUUAUGAUGAAAAAUGGGAAAUAGUUGAGCCUAAAGAAUUUGUACUUGGUGUAAGAUUGGAUACACGUAGACAUAGAACUACAGGGGUUUAUAGCGAAACACCUGUCAGAGACAAAUACAUGUAUGUGCCCAUUUUAGGUACGAUACAUUCAAUUUUCAAGAAUAAAGACAUUAGAGAAUGCUUCUUGCAUGAGAAACAAACACAAGCUGGGUUAUACAAAGACAUUAAUGAUGGAUUAUAUUUCCAAAACCAUCCUCUGUUUUCACAACAGAAAUAUGCUCUACAGAUUUUACUGUAUUAUGAUGAUUUUGAAACUGCUAACCCAUUAGGUUCGAAGAAAGGGAUCCACAAACUGGGCUGUAUUUAUUUCACUUUAAAAAAUCUCCCACCAAAGGUUAACUCUGUGCUGAUGAAUGUACAUCUAGCUGCUCUUUUCUACACAGAAGACUUAAAGAAAUAUGGUUUUGAAGAAAUACUAAAGCCUUUGAUUGAUGACUUGAAAAUUUUAGAAAUUAAAGGAAUCCUGCUUCCCUUUACUGAAGAGCCAGUGUUUGGUUCUGUUGUUCAAGUUACAGGAGACAAUCUUGCUUUAAAUGGCUUACUAGGUUUUGUUGAAUCGUUUAGUGCAACAAACUGGUGCAGGUUUUGUUUAGUAAACAAGGAAGAAAUUCAGUCUGUGUUUAAUGAAGACAGUUCAGACAUUGUUCUGCGCUCCAGAGAACUUCAUAUUGAACACUGUAAUGCAUUAAGUGAAGACCCUGCUCUCACUUCCGUUUACGGAGUUAAAAGAUCUUGUGUGCUCAAUUCAUUGGAAUAUUUUCACAGCACUGACAAUUAUGCAGUUGAUAUAAUGCACGAUUUAUUGGAAGGAGUUGUGCAGUAUGAGCUCAAACUUUUUUUUCAAUACAUGAUCAAAAAUGGCUACAUCUCCAGUAGCACAUUACUUGACAGGAUACAGACGUUUAAUUAUGGUUUUGUAGAGCGUAAAAAUAAACCAAGUGGGUUAAAAAUAGAUGAUAACAGCAAACACUUAGGUUUAAAUGCCAUUCAGUCAUUAUGUAUCCUACGCAAUACUCCACUAAUUUUUGGAGACAUAGUUGAGCGGGACAAUAGCCACUGGAAUUUUGUUCUCCUGUUGUUGCAAAUUGUUGAUAUUGUGUUGUCCCCAGUCCUUACUGAUGGCAUGAUAUGUUACUUGAAACAUCUGAUCUGUGAUCACCAUAACAUGUUUAAAAACUUAUUCCCUGGUAGAAAAUUAAUUCCUAAACACCACCUAAUGAUUCACUAUCCAAGGUGUAUUAAGAAAAUUGGCCCUCUUAUCCACAUAUGGUGUAUGCGUUUCGAAGCAAAACACAUUUUUUUUUUAAAAGAGCUGUCAAAAAUUUUAAAAACCUUACAAAAUCUCUAGUAAAGCAACAUCAGCGUCAAUUGGCCUUUUACUAUGAAAACUAUUGUUUUAAAAGAUUUCGGUUCGGUCCUUUAAAAUUAAAAAGAGUUGAUAGCAUGGAAGGUGGACAUUUGUUGUGCGAGUCAUUAAAUGUAGAUUCAUGUGCAAAUGUUUCAACUACAAAUUGGGUUAGAAAUUAUGGCACUGAAUACCAGGUUGGUUUGUUUUUAUGCACUGGAAUGUCCAGUGAUCUACCAGUCUUUAAGAAAAUUUGCUAUAUCAUAAUACAUGAACAACAUGCAGUCAUAAUAGGCUGUAGUGUCAACACCUUGUACUUUGAUGAACACUUUCAUGCAUACUGUAUUGAAGAAAAAAGUAAUGAGCAUGCUGUUAUUUCAAUUGACCAGCUCACCUAUGUUAGACCCUUUGACAAGCAAUAUUCUAAUGAAAAUGAGAACAUAUACAUUAUUCCAUAUUGUUACAUGUUUUAGAAAAUUUUUUGAAGUUGUGGUGCAUAUAAAAAUAAAUCUUUUUCAGAAGAACAUUGGCUCUUUUUAAUAUUUUUUUCCCCAAGGAAUUUCUAAAAGAUCAGAACAGUAAAAUUUACACUUUUUAGAAUUAAUUAGACGAUAACUCUUUUGUAGUCAAAAUAAAAUACUCUGUAACAGUUAAUAUAUAAACUCUUAACACCUAGUUAGUGUUAAUGAGUGUUAAAUUUUCAACUCCA